UUUAUUCUAUUUUAAUAUUUAAUAGAAUAUAUUUUCAUUUUAUAUUUAUAUGAAUUCUGAAAUUCCAUUUCA
rnacentral:tRNA from 1 species